rnacentral:rRNA from 1 species
UACGUAGGUGGCGAGCGUUAUCCGGAAUUAUUGGGCGUAAAGCGCGCGCAGGCGGUUUCUUAAGUCUGAUGUGAAAGCCCACGGCUCAACCGUGGAGGGUCAUUGGAAACUGGGAGACUUGAGUGCAGAAGAGAAGAGUGGAAUUCCACGUGUAGCGGUGAAAUGCGUAGAGAUGUGGAGGAACACCAGUGGCGAAGGCGACUCUGUGGUCUGUAACUGACGCUGAGGCGCGAAAGCGUGGGGAGCAAACAGG